AGGUAAGUUUUAUAGAACUGUGGUCAAGCUAGCUAUGUCAUACAGAAAUGAAUGUUGGGCAUCUAAAGUAUGACAUACUCACAAGACGAGUGUGACAAAAAUACAGAUAUUAGGAUGAAUGUCUGGAAACAUGAUAAUGAAUAUGAUUAGGAGUGACUAUUUUUGUAAGAGAGUGUAUGUAGCAUUCAUUAGGAUAAAAUGAGAAACAGUUGCUUAAGAUGGUUUGGUUAUGUCCUAUGUAGAGCAUCGAAGGAUCUAGUAUGAAUGUGUAAUAAGUUAGUGGUGGAAUAAGUGAGAAAGGAAAGAGGGAGAUCUAAAAUAACAAGAAGGGAAUUAGCAUUAAAAA
rnacentral:misc_RNA from 1 species